UCUCUCUUCUAUCAUCACCACUCACUUAUCUUCUUCUCCAUCUCGUCUCUCUAUCUCUGUUUCUCUCUUGAUCUUAGCCGGGUCUUGUGGGAGGAGCAAACCGAUAGAGAGAUAAUUUUAGAUCAUUACAAACCAUACAAGGAUUCUUCGAUGGGAAGGGGCUUUCUCUUUUGAGGGGAAUGUUGUUUGGCUCGAAGACUCUAGCUAUUCAUGUUAGAUCUUCUUCGAUCUAAUCGAAUCACACCUCCAUGUUUGAGAUCUGAUUAGGAUUUUAGGGUCGUCGGACCAGGCUUCAUUCCCCCCAAUUAUUGCUCCCUGCUUACUCUCCAACGUACCUUUUUUCUUAAUUUAGGGUUUCAGAUCUUGUGGUUGAACCCUUGUUAAAGAUACUUUUGCAUGCGAAGAUCAUCUUGAUUCUGGAUAUCGUUUCUCCUUCUAAAUUACCCUCACAAUACAUCUUGUAACCAUUUUCAUAUAUUAAUCUUGUAUAUGAUCUAGUGGUCUUAAUUAUAUUUCUAUUAUAUAAUUACAUUUGGAGUAUUAUAUUUAUAUCAUCUGUUCGUCAAGA